ACAGACGGAGGAAUCGUGAAGGGAUUGAACCCUAUCUUGUUCGUAAGUUACGUACAUCAUCUUCUGUGACUCUCUAAUUUUGUUACUAACCGACGACAGACGGAGGAGGAUGGAGUCGAAGAUAGAUUGACGGAGACGGACGGCGGAGGGAGACGCACGGCGGAGGAAUCGUGAAGGGAUUGAACCCUAACAUGUUGAUCAAAUCACAAUUCAACGAGUCUGAACCCAAAACAUGAAUCGUGAACGAUGAAAGUGCUUGAUGGUCAAAAAGGAUGUGACAGUGGUGGUGGUGUAUACGGAGGAGGAGGAUACACAGAGGUUUCCCCAAUUUAUAAUGGAGACUCUUGAGCGUGAUCUGUCAAGAAAACUUCCGCGUCCUCAUUACUCUUUCUACCACAUAGACCAUUAUCUUUUUCUGUAUGUGGAACAAGAACAACUUUUAUCCAUUUAUACCAGCCUCUCAGAAACUUACUUGAAAGACCAAAGAUCUCAGGUUCUAUGAUCAUGCAGUGUGAGUAUUUUAUAGGAUAAAUUUAUCCAAGUUUGAGGAGCUUCAUCACAAAUUCAUGAAGUAAAAGAUACUAUGUCCAAGUUUGAGGAGGACAAGGAGAAGCUCUAUAUACGAUAUGAGAAACUAAGUAAGCCAACAAACUCCUUAUGAAACCACUGUUAAUAAGAUGGCAACACUUACUUCCCC